rnacentral:rRNA from 1 species
UAGGGAAUAUUGGUCAAUGGACGCAAGUCUGAACCAGCCAUGCCGCGUGCAGGAAGACGGCCUUCUGGGUUGUAAACUGCUUUUAUCAGGGAAGAAAAAGUCCUUGCGAGGACAAUUGCCGGUACCUGAAGAAUAAGCACCGGCUAACUCCGUGCCAGCAGCCGCGGUAAUACGGAGGGUGCAAGCGUUGUCCGGAUUUAUUGGGUUUAAAGGGUGCGUAGGCGGCCUAUAAAGUCAGUGGUGAAAGGUAUCAGCUUAACUGAUGAAGUGCCAUUGAAACUUAUAGGCUUGAGUACAGACGAGGUAGGCGGAAUUUAUGGUGUAGCGGUGAAAUGCAUAGAUACCAUAAAGAACACCGAUAGCGAAGGCAGCUUACUAGACUGUAACUGACGCUGAGGCACGAAAGCGUGGGGAGCGAACAGGAUUAGAUACCCCCGUAGUCC